rnacentral:rRNA from 1 species
CAGUAGCCGCGGUAAAACGGAGGGUGCGAGCGUUAAUCGGAAUUACUGGGCGUAAAGCGUACGCAGGCGGUUUGUUAAGUCAGAUGUGAAAUCCCCGAGCUUAACUCGGGAACUGCAUUUGAAACUGGCAGGCUAGAGUCUCGUAGAGGGGGGUAGAAUUCCAGGUGUAGCGGUGAAAUGCGUAGAGAUCUGGAGGAAUACCGGUGGCGAAGGCGGCCCCCUGGACAGAGACUGACGCUCAGGUGCGAAAGCGUGGGGAGCAAACAGGAUUAGAUACCCCUGUAGUCCCUGUCUCUUAUAC